rfam:Triticum aestivum genome assembly, contig: Triticum_aestivum_CS42_TGACv1_scaffold_328309_4BS
UACGUACUCCCUUCGUCCGGAAAUACUUAUCAUAGAAAUGGAUAUAAAUGGAUGUAUCUAAAAUAAAAAUACAUCUAGAUACGUACAUUCCUCCGACAAAUAUUUCCGGGCGGAGGGAGUACUAC